GAUAAACGCUGGCGGCGUGCUUAACACAUGCAAGUCGAACGAAGUUUUUCCUUCUGGAGAAACUUAUUGGCGGACGGGUGAGUAACUCGUGGGUAACCUGCCCUGUACAGGGGUUCAACAGCUGUAAACGGCUUCUAAUACCGCAUAAGCCCUUAGCACUGCAUGGUGCAUAGGGAAAAGGAGCAAUCCGGUACAGGAUGGACCCGCGUCUGAUUAGCCAGUUGGCAGGGUAACUGCCUACCAAAGCGACGAUCAGUAGCCGAUCGGAGAGGAUGUACGGCCACAAUGGGACUGAGACACGGACCAGACUCCUACGGGAGGCAGCAGUGGGGAAUAUAGCACAAUGGAGGAAAAUCUGAUGAAGCGACGCCGCGUGAGUGAAGAAGUAGUUCGGUAUGUAAAGCUCUAUCAGAAGGGAAGAAAAUGACGGUACCUGACAAAGAAGCACCGGCUAAAUACGUG
rnacentral:rRNA from 1 species